CAAAAAUGUAAUGCAAAGAGUGGCAUUGCUUCAAGUCUCUUAAUGUGUGCCUUAAUGGAAGAAACUGGAUUCUCAUAUCGCCCAGGCUUGCCUAGGUAAACAAAGCAGCCAGGAAGCUCGAACUGGGUGGAGCCCACCACAGCUCAAGGAGGCCUGCCUGCCUCUGUAGGCUCCACCUCUGGGGGCAGGGCACAGACAAACAAAAAGACAGCAGUAACCUCUGUGGGGGCCAAUAUUCAACAUUCUUAAAGAAAAGAAUUUUCAACCCAGAAUUUCAUAUCCAGCCAAACUAAGCUUCAUAAGUGAAGGUGUAAAGACCAUCGAGACUAGGAAGAAACUGCAUCAACUAACGAGCAAAAUCACCAGCUAACAUCAUAAUGACAGGAUCAAAUUCACACAUAACAAUAUUAACUUUAAAUGUAAAUGGACUAAAUUCUCCAAUUAAAAGACACAGACUGGCAAGUUGGAUAAAGAGUCAAGACCCAUCAGUGUGCUGUAUUCAGGAAACCCAUCUCACGUGCAGAGACACACAUAGGCUCAA
rnacentral:lncRNA from 10 species